UGUCAAUGUUCCUUUCUCAAUUUGUCCCAUCCUCACCUUCCCCCACUGUGUCCUGAAGUCAGUUCUCUAUGUGUAUGUCUCCAUUUCUUCUCUGUAAAUAGGUUAAUCAGUACUAUAUUAAUGCAUAUAUAUGGAAUCCAGAAAAAAAGUUUCUCAUCUUUAAACUGAGCAUGAGGAAACCUAUUUUGCCUAAUAUUUGAAACAUGAGAUACUGUUUAAAAGGGCCUGAUCCCAUUGUAAACAGUUAAGAAAUAACAUCUAUAAUCAUCACAUUGCUAAAAAGCAAGUAGAAUUUGCAUCCUUAGGUUCCUGAUACCUCUCCUUCAGGCAGUGCCCUGAACACAGCUGUUGUAACCAGCAUUGACAGCAGAGGGGGCUUCUGUUUGGCUCUGAAGAAUCUGGCAUCUAAAGGUUGAUGGAAGACAAAGAAAACCUAUUUACUUCUCCUGACUUGCUGCAGGGUAUUGGCAGUCUGGUUGUCUGUGGGUAAACUUAAUAUCUUGAUUGGCUCUCCUGAGAAUGCCUCUGGAAAUUGUUAUAUGAAGUGGGAGGUGGAAGACUGGCUAAUACCUAUGGUGGCUUCAAAAUAGUCUGCAGAGAUCUGUUUGCUUGGAAUUGUAAGAUGUUUGUUACCUUGACAACCACAGGCAGCACAAGGCUGGGUUUUGAGUGACUUUAGAUUCUUUUGCAAUUCCUUAUGGGGAUGAAUGAUUUGUAUGUCUAAUCAAUGAAUGGCAAAGACAUGUUAUUUAACAAGAUUAAUGAAGCUCGCAUAAAGCAUUCUGUAUGCUAUGCCCAAAGGCAUGGCUUUCUUAGAAACUCAGUCAACAUUUCUGGAACAUUGGCUCCAGGGAGAACCAAAACCAUCUUUAAUUCCAGUGCUACUCUAGAGACUCAGGUGGAAGAUGGCGACAUGAAGAAAAUGCCUUUCUCUUCAAUACAAGAGCCUGAAGUGUCCCUCCAAAGGUCAUAUUUGGUAGAACAGGAAUAGGAAGGAUCAGACUCAAGUAAGAAAAAUCAGAAAUCAACAUCAUAGAGUCUGAGGACAAUGGUGUGGCUAGCAGAUACUGUCAGCUUCUUGCCCAUGUACGUCCCCACUCAUCAUCCCAUAGACACUGACUACUGCUUCCUAAAAACACUCAGACACUUCCUGAAGGAUGUUGAUUGCAGGCAUGUCCUCAGCUUGUAGGGACAGACAAUGGAGGGGCUAUGCAUUAAUGUCCUUGAGAUCAGCCUUCAACCAUGAUGAAUGGAGACUAAUGGAUGCAUGUCCCAGUUUCUUUGCCCCUCUUGUGGGAUUACACUGUGGUGGGUUCUGCACCUCUCCCAGGGUUGUUCCAGACGUGGACUCCCCGUGGCCUGGAGCAGUAACCAGCCCACUUACACAUCUUGUCUAGGUUUUCUUCUGUUCCUGCUCCCCCACUGGUAAUUCCUGAGAUCACUAUCCAGCAAACCUUGCUCAGUCCUCUUGGCAGGGUCAGUUUCUGGAGAAAUUUAACCUAAGACAGAAUGUAUAUAAUAUGUAUAGAU
ensembl:lncRNA